rnacentral:rRNA from 1 species
GAUGAACGCUAGCGGCAGGCUUAAUACAUGCAAGUCGAGGGGCAGCAUGACUGUAGCAAUACAGUUGAUGGCGACCGGCAAACGGGUGCGGAACACGUACAGAACCUUCCUUCGAGCGGGGAAUAGCCCAGAGAAAUUCGGAUUAAUACCCCAUAGUAUUACGGAGUGGCAUCACUUUGUAAUUAAAGAUUUAUCACUUGAAGAUGGCUGUGCGGCUGAUUAGGUAGUUGGCGGGGUAACGGCCCACCAAGCCUGCGAUCAGUAACUGGUGUGAGAGCACGACCAGUCACACGGGCACUGAGACACGGGCCCGACUCCUACGGGAGGCAGCAGUAAGGAAUAUUGGUCAAUGGACGAAAGUCUGAACCAGCCAUGCCGCGUGGAGGAUGAAGGUCCUCUGGAUUGUAAACUUCUUUUAUAUGGGACGAAAAAAGGCUUUUCUAAGUCGUCUGACGGUACCAUAUGAAUAAGCACCGGCUAACUCCGUGCCAGCAGCCGCCGUAACAC